GACGAACGCUGGCGGCGUGCCUAACACAUGCAAGUCGAACGGAGAAGUUCAGCAAUGGAUUUCUUAGUGGCGAACGGGUGAGUAACGCGUAGACAACCUGCCUCUAAGCUGGGGACAACAACUCGAAAGGGUUGCUAAUACCGAAUGUGAACAGUGCCUCGCAUGAGAUGCUGUUUGAAGGUGGCCUCUGAAUAUGCUACCGCUUAGAGAUGGGUCUGCGUCUGAUUAGCUAGUUGGAGGGGUAAUGGCCCACCAAGGCGACGAUCAGUAGCCGGUCUGAGAGGAUGAACGGCCACACUGGGACUGAGACACGGCCCAGACUCCUACGGGAGGCAGCAGUGGGGAAUCUUCCGCAAUGGACGAAAGUCUGACGGAGCAACGCCGCGUGAGUGAAGAAUGCCCUCGGGUCGUAAAGCUCUGUCUUCAGGGACGAAUGUGCAGAUUGUGAAUAAUGGUUUGUAAUGACGGUACCUGAGGAGGAAGCCACGGCUAACUACGUGCCAGCAGCCGCGGUAA
rnacentral:rRNA from 1 species